UUUAUCAAUGAUGAUCAAUUGGCUCCCUCUACUGAAUCGAAUGAAGAAAAUUGCCUGAAUUGUUGCCCAAACGUCGGAGAUACA